ensembl:miRNA MIR124-2 microRNA 124-2
GAGCAAGUGAGCAAGAGAGAACAGUACAGUCUCCGUCUCUCCGUGUUCACAGCGGACCUUGAUUUAAUGUCAUACAAUUAAGGCACGCGGUGAAUGCCAAGAGCGAGGC